UUAUUAUUUAUUUCUUUAGCUCUGCCUUUCUUGAUUACUUCUAGCAAAUGGAAACUUUUCUGUAACCCAAAAUUUGCUACAGUCUACUGCCUGGUUAUAGAAGAUUACAAGAGGAGCAGGCUAGAUGUAGAUGAAUAACGUGAUGAAAGGACAAACAUAUCUUAUGUAACGUUGGAUGCCAAAAAUAAUACAGUGAAAUCCUGUUCUGUAAUUCCUAACCAUGUGAGUAUCCUCAUAAAAUAGUCUAUGAACACCUCCAUCUUGGCCUACCAGACUCCAGGUAUCUGUUAUGUCUACUUUUAAUUUAUCAAGACUUUUGGGCUGAUUAAUCACUAUAGGUAACUAUAUUCAAAAUGUUUACAUUUAAUUCUAGGAGAUCUAUGAACUGUCAUUUUUCUUCACCACACAUAAGAGUGUUUAUGACAUUGAACUGUGCACUACUUCAGAGGCAUCUUUAGAAUUCAGCACCAUGGCAGAAGACCCUAUAAGACUGUCCCUUUUGAUAGCCAUUUUCUCAGUCAAAGCCAGUCUAAGUACUGCUGGCAGAACCACCAGGGUCUCAAUCCAAGACGACCAAUGGACAGAGGUGUGUUUCCUGAGAAGAUCUCAGACAGCUCCACCCAACCUCUCCCCUGGCCUCUGUACUUCUACCAAAGUGAUAGAGAAGGACCUGGGU
rnacentral:lncRNA from 1 species